rnacentral:rRNA from 1 species
GAUGAACGCUGGCGGCGUGCCUAAUACAUGCAAGUCGAGCGAACGGACGAGAAGCUUGCUUCUCUGAUGUUAGCGGCGGACGGGUGAGUAACACGUGGAUAACCUACCUAUAAGACUGGGAUAACUUCGGGAAACCGGAGCUAAUACCGGAUAAUAUUUUGAACCGCAUGGUUCAAAAGUGAAAGACGGUCUUGCUGUCACUUCUAGAUGGAUCCGCGCUGCAUUAGCUAGUUGGUAAGGUAACGGCUUACCAAGGCAACGAUGCAUAGCCGACCUGAGAGGGUGAUCGGCCACACGGGAACGGAGACACGGUCAAGACUCCUACGGGAGGCAGCAGUCGGGAAUCGUCCGCAAUGGGCGAAAGCCUGACGGAGCAACGCCGCGUGAGUGAUGAAGGUCUUCGGAUCGUAAAACUCUGUUAUUAGGGAAGAACAUAUGUGUAAGUAAAUGUGCACAUCGUGACGGUACCUAAUCAGAAAGCCACGGCUAACUACGUG